UGUUAAUCUCUGUUGGGUCAGUCUGUGUUGUGGUUCUACUGGUGUUACUGGCUCUACUGGUGAGAAGAGAUGUUGACCUGAAACCUGAAGAGAUUUAUACAACUGUGGUUUACUCAGCAGUGAGAGCUGAAGACGUCAGUAUUGGAGACAAAACCAUCAGAAAGAGGAGUCCAAGACUUUAAACCAGAGCCAGACGUCGUCUACUCUUCACUGAAGUAGUCCACCAGUCCAACCAUUGACGUCCAGCUGCUGGUCUUUAACUGGUCUGCCCAGCACUUCAGACCAGAGGACAUCCACAGAUUUUUAAAUGUCUUAAGUCUUUUUUUUUCUCACUGAGAAAACCCAUAGACCCAUAGGACUCAAAAAUUGCAUCAUGGAUUUUUUAAAGUGUCCUUUAAUAAGGAAUCACAGCUUCAUGGUUUUAUAAAAAUGUUUCAUGUCUUAAAAAUUAUGCUUUUUAUGUGUUUUUUAUGUGCCUCUUUUGUAGAAGUGAAAUGAGUUAAACAACUCAAAAAAAAUUACAUACAACACAU